ACAUUACCGAGUAAUAUGAAAAUUCACGAGCGAUGAACGCACGUGCAACCGUUCCUGCACGUAACUACAAAUGGAAUAUGAAAGUGAGAGUCGCUCGACCGUGUGUUGCUCCAUCCACGUUCUGUUGAACUUGACCCACUCUUUGUACUGUGAUACGAGCGUGCUAACGCAACGCGUCUUGCUCUCUCGCGGCUAUGCUAAUAUAACGAAGGACUCCACCUCCUUCCUCCUCUUCCUCCUCUUGUAUACCUUCCUUCUUCUCAUUUGAGUGACACCACCUUCGGGUUAGUUUCCAUCUCUCUCUCUCUCUUUCUCUCUCUCUCUCUCUCUUUCUCUUUGAUAUUCAUUCACUUUCAGUCUGUCCCUCCCUCUCUCUCUCUCUCUCUCUCUCUCUCUCUCUCUCACGCUUACUCUCACUCUUACUCUUACUUUCUGUGUGACUCUCAGCGGUUAGACUAAAGUAUUCGCGGCUCGAGACGAACUUGACCCGGUUGUCGCUAAAAUAGUGACGAGGCGAUCAGUCCAUAAGUGAGUUGUGCCGAGCGUGUACGUGUGCGACAGUCGAAAGAAGAGACUUACAGGACGGAUGCGGAAAUCGUACAACGUCCUUCACCAUGACGUUAUAUGCUCCUGCAUUAUGACAUGCUCCUAAACAUGAUCGCAUAAUAGCGUCACAUGGAUGAUAUUGGACUCAUUAACUGGAGAGUACGUGGAAGGGUCGCUUCCGAAAGGGGUCGGAAGGAACAGAGAGAGAGAGAGAGAGAGAGAGAGAGAGAGAGAGAGGGACUACAUUCGGUAAGAGGCGUCCCCGUGCGUGUCGAGAGCUAGGAUCGAUAUGGAGAAAUACGGACUACUAAUCUCCGAAACGCUUCUGGAUAGUGUCACUCUGAUUGCUAACACGGAAAAUGAAGCAAUUAUAGGUACCGCCUUUGAUCAAACUCGGAUGCUUAACGAAGCGACACUAUGAGAGAUGCGAUCUGACGGAGAAUCAUGAUCGACUGUGAGAAAUUCAUAUCUCCGUGAAGAUCUUUCAUGGAAUAAGAACGACACUCACGAUUUUCGGGGUAGGAAGUCGAGCAAACAUACAAAAAUAGCUCGUUUAUGGGAGACGAAGAAAAAGAGAGAGAAAGAGAGAGAGAGAGAGAGAGAGAGAGAGAGAGAAAAGAAAGCAGUAGAAAAACAUUUACCACAAAGAUUGGACGUCCCAGAGUUUAUACAACGCUUCAUAUUCUCGUCGAUCCGUCCGAGAAAUUGAAGACCCGAAAUUUUCUCGAGAUAGCGUCGGCAAAGAACGCUUUGAAAGGAAACGAACGUGCUGCCUCCUCGGGGCAUCUCGAUUGGGACGUUUAAUAAGAGCAACCGUUCCAAAAAGAAUCUGCGAUGGAAAGUUCUCUGGUCGAUGGUUGCCAUGAAGAGAAGGGCCGAUUGGGGGAAGCAGCAGGACGAAUUUAUGAUGGAAGAAAGAGAAAGAGAGAGAGAGAGAGAGAGAGAGAGGGAGAGAAAGAGAUAGAUAGAUACAUAGAUAGAUAGAGGGAGAGAGAGAGAGAGAGAGAGAGAGAGAGAGAAAGAGAGAGAGAGAGAGAGAGAGAGAGAGAGAGAGAGUGAGAGAGAAAAGGAGAAGAGACGAAGCCUGGGGCAGGUACGUGCUUCAAAGGAUAUUAAAGUAUUUUAAUUGCAACGGAUUUAGCGGAACGCUCGAAGGAUUUGUUCGAAAUCAUCCGAUUGGUUCUAUGAAUAGGGAUUAAGCUCUGCAACGAGACGGGUUUGGGGCAGUUGGGCGAAUUCCAAAUGUCAGAGGCGGAAGACAGAAAUAAUUGAAUAUUUAAUAGAUAACUCGGCUAUAUCUAUGCGUAUUGGUACUUGCUUCUGUAUGUACGUUUACAGUACAUAUAUACAUAUAUAUAUAUAUAUACAUAUAUAAUAUAUAUAAUAUAUACAUAUAUAUAUAUAUAUGUAUGUAUAUGGAUUCUAUAUAAUAUGCGCCCUUAUACGUUUGUAUGUAUAUGUAUAUGUAAACCGACGAGGAUGAGAGUCGAUACGACCGCCAUCCGUCAUCGCGAUAGAACGUCGAUUUUUCUGUCGGCCUUGUCUGCUUCCCGUAGACACCGAUUAAUUAUACAUUCGAGGAGAACCAACUACGAAAAAGAAGAGAUCUUAAAUUUGGUUAUUCCUUACUAACACCAUCACUUUCCUUGUACUCUUCUUACACAAUGCAUUUCAAUAUUUCGAGAAGAUCAAAACUACGAAUUAAUAUUAUACAUCAAUCUCUUCAUUCGUAUCAACAAUACGUAUUAUUAGAUUUUUGUCUAUUCAAAGGUAAUAUUGAUUACGUAAGUAAAAAAAUAAGAUAAGUCUAACGUAAUUAAAAAAUAAGAUAAAAUAAAUAUAAUUAUACGUUACUUGAGUUAAGACGGAAUAAUCUUCAAUCUUGAACGACCUUCGCUCUAAUACGACUAACGUAAAUAUAAACAAAAUAGAAAGAAUAUAAUACUGAAGAAAUAGAAACAUAAGCAAAGAAAAAGAAAAUAAAAAAAAAAUAAAAAAGAAACUAACUUGUUUACACCUAUUGAAGUAUAUUUCCGUCGUAAAAUCAAACGUGCAAAGAUGAAAAAUGGAUCAAGAAAGAUAUUAAUUCGUUGAUUACGAAAAGGGGAUAAAAUGAUUUUCUAACUUUCGUAAUAAUUUUCGAGAUUGAUUAAAACGUUAUUAAGCAAUAAUUUUCGUUUUCGUAAAGAUCACCUUCCCGUCAUUUUCGAAUAGCUCGUCGACGGAAGCGUGCCGAUAGCAGCUCGUCCAUCAUGUUUCUUAUCAUUCUCCCUCACGAUUGAUCCAAGCACGAAAUGAUGGUCCCAGCUGCUCUCAGCAUUUUGUGUUGAUUCUCCUUAACGAGACUAGAAAGAAAGAGUGAAAGAGAGAGAGAAUAUCGAAGGAAAACACGUUCUGCAUCAUCCAUGGUCUAUUCUUUUCGUCAUCUACGUACUUUUAUUCUGAUAGAAAAAAAGAUCUUCCAUUGUAAAAAGAGAAGCAGUUUGUCGUUUGUCCUCUGCGUACUCCUAUGCGCAUAUAUUUCUUUUUCUCUCCUUCUUUUUUUUCUCUUUUCUUUUCUUUUCUUUUUUUUUUUUUUAUUUUUAAUUACCAAUUCUAAAGAAUAUUGAAGUGCUAGUUAUUCUCAGGAAAGAGUAAUAGAAAAUGAAUUUGUUAGAAAAAAUACGGGACAUGAAAAAAAUUGAAAUGGAAUAAUUCGUUCCAUUCCGAUUUUAUAUCAAAAUGCAUUCUGAUUCUCUGAAAUAUCCAUUAAAUCACAAAGUAAACUAUGUUCUAACGUAGAUUUGAUGCAAAUACGUUAAAUUUGGGUUUGCUUUUAUCUUGUUAAAGCGCACGGCAAGUAAAUCGAAGUUUAACGAGGUUAGAAAACGGAAGAAGAGGACUUUUGAGAGGGGGGGAAAAAGCGUCAUCAUCCAGCUACAAGGCAAAUAAAACGACGACUUAUGUGGAACUAAGAAGUUUAAUUAUAAUAAGUAACCAACAAUCAUUUCCUUUGUCAUUCAUUUGUUCAAAUCUGAAUGAUUUAAUAAUAUUUUAAUGAAUUUUAAACACGAUACUUUCGAAAGCUUUUUAAUGAGCACAAUUCAAAUGUUUGCUGAAAUAUAAUAUUUAAGCAAAUGUACAUAUGUAAACGUGAAACGAUCUAAAAACAAAAUAAGUUAAUAUGCGAAAUAUAAUUUAAAAACAAAUGCUUUGUUAAUCAAUCAAAAGAACUGACAUAUUGGCAAGACAAAUUCAUUUAAAUGAAUUAUAUAAACGAACGUACAUGAAAAUAUUCUGAAAGUUUGUCAUUAUUUAAAAGUAAACGUUAAAAGCGUACACGAUCUCGGGUAUCAUUUAAUAACAUCUACGUAAACUAUAUAGAACAUUUGUGAAAAAUGGAUGGUCUAUUACGUUAACAAUUUAACAUAUUUAAACUACAAUACAAACAUUAUUGAACUUUUAUGAUAUUUCCAUUAAUGUGGACACGGACAUGAAAAUUCCCAAAAAUUACAAAUUGCAAUUUUCUAUAAUAUAGAAGAUGAAUUGAACUCGAUAUUUCCAAGUGGAACACAAUCGUUGAUGUUGUAAAACGGUAGAGAAAAAAAAGAGAGAGAGAGAGAAAGAAAAAACUCUGAUAAAAGGUAGAAAUCUGCGAAAGAUGCAGAAACUGAAAUUGCAAAUUUCAACUCGGUAGAAAGUUUACUUCGCGGCCAGUUAACGAAUGUAAUGGAUUCGUUUCUCUUAAACGCUGCAGUCUAAUCAAGAAAGUGGUCUCUCAAGUGAACUCCGAAUUCUCUCUUUCCUUCCUUUUUUCCCUUCAUUCCUUUCUUUCUUAAUGUCUUGGCCUUGCCUUUCUCGUAUCUCGAUGCACUGAUUGACGCCGGAAAAAAGAGAAUUAUUAUGCUGCGGCGAACUUUUACCACUUCGCACGACGGCAAAUAAAAGUCAACCUUUUAUUUCCCUCACCCCUCCAUCCCUCUAUCUCUCUCUCUCUCUCUCUUUAUUUCUUUUUCUUUCUAUCUCUCGCGAUACGAUCGUGGUUACGUCUUAUCGCGAUUCUCAACCGGAAAUACAACAGUUCGAGUGCUGCGAUAAAAAUACUACCAUGGCGUUAAGUUAAAGGAGAAAGUAAUAAAAAAGUGAAGAGUCCACGGAAAAAAGUAAGAAACUGGUCGUAAGAUAAGGAAUAAAAUCAAUUUUUAUAACCAAACCAAAUCUAACGCAGAAUCCGAGCUAACACUGUUAAUACUCCAAAAUUUUAGAAAGAACUGAAAACUAUCAUUCGAUUAAGUACGUUCUUGUACGAUGUAAGUUUUAACUCAUAAAUAUUACGGUAGAGAGUAAACAUUUUGAAAACAUAUAUCACUUAUUUUUCUCUUGCUCUCUCUCUCUCUCUCUCUCUCUAUCUCUCUCUUUCUCUUUCAUUAGACAAAGAUAAUAAUAACGCUUCUUCCAUAAGAACUAAAAUAUGAUAUCUACGAACGAUGCAAAUAUACUUUUUCUCUCUUUCUUUCUCUCUCUCUCUCUCUCUCUCUCUCUCUCUCUUUCUCUCUUUCUUUCUUUCUUUUAGUUCGUUUCGAACUUCGCGACUCGAUUACUUUUCAACUUUGUUUCAAACUUUCAACACGAUUGAAAUUCUAACGGAUAGUUUAAUUAUUCCAAAAACAAAUCCAAAAAGGUUUAUUGGAAGAAAUCAAAGUUUAAGGAUUCGUAUUAUUUUCAUUCUUAUUUGAAAAUCGAUUCUACGAAUCCUGAACGAGGUAGUGAUAGUCUUGUAGGAAAAAAAGAAAAAAAAAAAAAGGAAAAAGAAAAAGAAAAAUAAAAAACAGAGAAAAACAGAAAGAAAAAUACGUAUAUUUUUCCUAUAGGUAUAUUGAUUAAAACCAAUAAAACAACGUGAUCAAAAGUUUUAUUCAACAAUAACAAAGAAAAUGUAAACGCGACAAUUUAAUGAAAAAUAGAGAAAAAUAAUAUGCAAGGUAUAUUGAAUUUUAUUAUAUUUUACCUUCUUUAUCAUAUAUUUUAUCAAAAAA